CUCAACGACAUGGAGAUAAUGGACCCAAAUGCAGAUGCUAUGAUGGACAAUGAUGUUCAACACGAUGAUUUUUCGGGGGAAGAUCUCAUGGACGUGAAACUGCAAAAGGAUGAUGUAAAAGGACGUCCCUCUUCAAGUGCAACCGUCACACAAAAAAGCUUAAAGGGAUGAGAAGUGGUGCAAAAUUGAAUAUCCCUUUGGGCAUUCAAAGCAAAAAGAUAGGUUUCCUUCGUCGAGGAUCUCCACGCAAUCUCUCGGUCAUGCCUUUUGGACGCUCUCAUACAAU
rnacentral:lncRNA from 1 species